GAUGAACGCUGGCGGCGUGCCUAAUACAUGCAAGUCGAGCGAACGGACGAGAAGCUUGCUUCUCUGAUGUUAGCGGCGGACGGGUGAGUAACACGUGGAUAACCUACCUAUAAGACUGGGAUAACUUCGGGAAACCGGAGCUAAUACCGGAUAAUAUUUUGAACCGCAUGGUUCAAAAGUAAAAGACGGUCUUGCUGUCACUUAUAGAUGGAUCCGCGCUGCAUUAGCUAGUUGGUAAGGUAACGGCUUACCAAGGCAACGAUGCAUAGCCGACCUGAGAGGGUGAUCGGCCACACUGGAACUGAGACACGGUCCAGACUCCUACGGGAGGCAGCAGUAGGGAAUCUUCCGCAAUGGGCGAAAGCCUGACGGAGCAACGCCGCGUGAGUGAUGAAGGUCUUCGGAGCGUGAAACUCUGUUAUGAGGGAAGAACAUAUGUGUAAGUAACUGUGCACAUCUUGACGGUACCUAAUCAGAAAGCCACGGCUAACUACGUG
rnacentral:rRNA from 1 species